rnacentral:rRNA from 1 species
UAUAAGCAAUUAUACAGCGAAACUGCGAAUGGCUCAUUAUAUAAGUUAUCGUUUAUUUGAUAGUACCUUACUACUUGGAUAACCGUGGUAAUUCUAGAGCUAAUACAUGCUAAAAAUCCCGACUUCGGAAGGGAUGUAUUUAUUAGAUACAAAACCAAUGCCCCUCGGGGCUCUCUGGUGAUUCAUGAUAACUCGUCGAAUCGCACGGCCUUGCGCCGGCGAUGGUUCAUUCAAAUUUCUUCCCUAUCAACUUUCGAUGUUUGGGUAGUGGCCAAACAUGGUGGCAACGGGUAACGGAGGGUUAGGGCUCGACCCCGGAGAAGGAGCCUGANAAACGGCUACUACAUCCAAGGAAGGCAGCAGGCGCGCAAAUUACCCAAUCCCGAUACGGGGAGGUAGUGACAAUAAAUACUGAUACAGGGCUCUUUUGGGUCUUGUAAUUGGAAUGAGUACAAUUUAAAUCCCUUAACGAGGAACAAUUGGAGGGCAAGUCUGGUGCCAGCAGCCGCGGUAAUUCCAGCUCCAAUAGCGUAUAUUAAAGUUGUUGUGGUUAAAAAGCUCGUAGUUGAAUCUUGGGCCUGGCUGGCCGGUCCGCCUCACCGCGUGUACUGGUCCGGCCGGGUCUUUCACUCUGCGGAACCACAUGCCCUUCAGUGGGUGUGGCGGGGAAGCAGGACGUUUACUUUGAAAAAAUUAGAGUGCUCUAAGCAGGCCAAUGCUCGGAUACAUUAGCAUGGAAUAAUAAAAUAGGACGCGCGGUUCUAUUUUGUUGGUUUCUAGGACCGCCGUAAUGAUGAAUAGGGACAGUCGGGGGCAUCAGUAUUCAGUUGUCAGAGGUGAAAUUCUUGGAUCUACUGAAGACUAACUACUGCGAAAGCAUUUGCCAAGGAUGUUUUCAUUAAUCAGGAACGAAAGUUAGGGGAUCGAAGACGAUCAGAUACCGUCGUAGUCUUAACCAUAAACUAUGCCGACUAGGGAUCGGACGAUGUUAUUUAGUUGACUCGUUCGGCACCUUACGAGAAAUCAAAGUGCUUGGGCUCCAGGGGG